CCCUGACUGCUUAACAGCAGACUAACCCAAGACAGGAGAUUGACAUG
rnacentral:ncRNA from 1 species